rnacentral:rRNA from 1 species
ACGGCUCAGUAACACGUGGACAACCUACCCUUAGGUCGGGAAUAAACCCGGGAAACUGGGUAUAAUACCCGAUAGUCCUCGGAUGCUGGAAUGCACCGAGGUCUAAAGCUCCGGCGCCUAAGGAUGGGUCUGCGGCCUAUCAGGUAGUAGUGGGUGUAGCGUACCUACUAGCCUACGACGGGUACGGGUUGUGAGAGCAAGAGCCCGGAGAUGGAUUCUGAGACACGAAUCCAGGCCCUACGGGGUGCAGCAGGCGCGAAAACUUUACAAUGCUGGAAACAGCGAUAAGGGGACCUCGAGUGCCAGGUUACAAAUCUGGCUGUCGUGAUGCCUAAAAAGCAUUGCAUAGCAAGGGCCGGGCAAGACCGGUGCCAGCCGCCGCGGUAACACCGGCGGCUCGAGUGGUAACCGCUAUUAUUGGGUCUAAAGGGUCUGUAGCCGGCCGGAUAAGUCUUUUGGGAAAUCUGGCAGCUUAACUGUCAGGCUUUCAGAGGAUACUGUCUGGCUCGAGGCCGGGAGAGGUGAGAGGUACUUCAGGGGUAGGGGUGAAAUCUUGUAAUCCUUGAAGGACCACCAGUGGCGAAGGCGUCUCACCAGAACGGACCUGACGGCAAGGGACGAAAGCUAGGGGCACGAACCGGAUUAGAUACCCGGGUAGUCCUAGCCGUAAACGAUACUCGCUAGGUGUCGGCCACGGUGCGACCGUUGUCGGUGCCGUAGGGAAGCCGUGAAGCGAGCCACCUGGGAAGUACGGCCGCAAGGCUGAAACUUAAAGGAAUUGGCGGGGAAGCAC